UCUUCUUCUAUUUGUUAACUGCAGUAAAAGGAAUAGAUAAAUAUGAAAAUUAAAAUAAUAUCUGUUUUUUAUGUUGCUGGAGGAAACCAAAUGUAAUUUUAUUACACUUAUUACGUUGUUGGGUCAAUUUGACCCACCUAGUAUUUUGAAACAUUUUGCUGUUUAUUAUUACAUCACUCGAUCAAGAACGCCGACAAAGAAAGCUAGUUAUCGGAAAUCGAGUAUAUUUUGCACAGCUCUAUGUUUAUAUAUUCUCGAUAAAUUUAUAGCCUUUUCGAAAAAGGGUAACUCCCGUUUUAUACACCUGUGCAAAGAGUAAUGCCGGAAUUACAUGUACAGAUAUUCUGCAUGCAGAUCUGCACUAUUUUUUCCAGCCAAAACACAUGUGCAGUAAAUUUUGACAAUCAGUUGAUUGCAAUAAAUAAUUGAAAUUGAAAUUUAAAAAUUUUAAAAUGGAAGUGGAAAGAAAAAAAGAUUGCAACAAUUGCUUUUACUUCUAGUUGCCAAAAAGAAAUUAAUUAAUAUUUUAAGCUUGUGCGCGAUAAGUGAUAAAAAACACGGGUGUGGACGAUUCCUAUAUAUGCGGAAAAUGAGAGAGAGCUGCAUGGUUUUUUCAAUAAUUUAUUCAUCUAUAUACAUAUAUAAAAAAACAAUGAUUCCUUUCAGUUCCAAAAGGCUACUCGAAUGCAAGUGGAUCAAUUUAAGCUUCUUCUAAGCUUAAUUAAAAGGUGUAUAGCAAAACAGUUUCAUAUACUUACGUCGUCCAAUACCAGCAGAAUGUCGCCUGGCAAUAACAUUAGUAUAUUUGGCCCAUGGAGUUUGCCGCCUGAUGUUGGCUUGGGCUUUUCGAGUAGGAGUAUCAACAAUUGGCAAAAUUUUAUUGGAAACAUCCGCAGCCAUUUGGGAUGAACUUUCAGGAAUAUACUUGGCGCAACCAAAUGAACAUGAGUGGAGGCAAAUAGCCGAUUCAUUUAACAUCAAGACAGGAAUGCCUCAUGUUGUAGGAGCUGUUGACGGCAAACAUGUCCAAAUCAAGUGUUCGCGAAAAUCCGGAUCACUGUAUUUUAAUUAUAAGCAAUAUUUUAGUAUUGUGUUGUUAGCCGUUUGUGAUAGCAAAUAUACAUUUACCGCAGUAGACAUUGGAGCUUACGGAAGCCAAAGUGAUGGCAGAGUGUUAAAAAUCAGUGGUUUUGGAAAUAGAAUAUUAAACGGAACAAUGAACCUACCAGAAGCAGAAAAUCUUCCACGUAGUGCGAUAAAAUUCCCAUUUUAUUAUGUGGGAGAUGCUGCUUUUCUGUUGACAAAACAUUUGAUGAGGCCAUAUCCGGGAAAGUGUUUGGAAGCAAACAAAGACCACUUCAAUAAAUGUUUAUCCAGAGCGCGGGUUACAAUUGAAAAUAAUUUGGCAUUUUAGUGGCUAGAUGGCGAGUUCUCAAUAAUUCUUUGAAUAUGUUUCCCGAAAAUGCCAAUACCACAGUUAGAGCUACAUUAAUUUUACAUAAUUUUGUAAAGCUCCAUAACGCCGAAUUCUUUUGUCCCAAUAACUUCGUUGACCACAUAAAUGAAAGUGGCAUUCUAAUUGAAGGGCAGUGGAGACAAUUUGUAGCGCCAUUACAUCAGAUUACGAUAUUAUCAAGCGCUAACGCAAGACGAAGUGCUUUUGAUACCCGAGAUCUUCUUAAAAAUUAUCUCUUCUUUAAUAAAUAAGUAAAUAAUUGAAUAAAUGUAUUAUAAAAUAAAUAUGUCGGUUCGACGUAACCUGUAUGGAUUUGUAUUCCUCAAAAUUGUUUGCGCUGAAAUAACAAAAACAACAACUACAAAAUAAAUAAAUAACUUUGUACUUUUUUAUAUAUUUGAAA